rnacentral:rRNA from 1 species
UGGGGAAUUUUGGACAAUGGGCGCAAGCCUGAUCCAGCCAUGCCGCGUGUCUGAAGAGGGCCUUCGGGUUGUAAAGGACUUUUGUCAGGGAAGAAAAGGCUGUUGCUAAUAUCAGCGGCUGAUGACGGUACCUGAAGAAUAAGCACCGGCUAACUACGUGCCAGCAGCCGCGGUAAUACGUAGGGUGCAAGCGUUAAUCGGAAUUACUGGGCGUAAAGCGAGCGCAGACGGUUACUUAAGCAGGAUGUGAAAUCCCCGGGCUCAACCUGGGAACUGCGUUUUGAACUGGGUGACUAGAGUGUGUCAGAGGGAGGUAGAAUUCCACGUGUAGCAGUGAAAUGCGUAGAGAUGUGGAGGAAUACCGAUGGCGAAGGCAGCCUCCUGGGAUAACACUGACGUUCAUGCUCGAAAGCGUGGGUAGCAAACAGGAUUAGAUACCCUGGUAGUCCACGCCCUAAACGAUGUCAAUUAGCUGUUGGGCAACUUGAUUGUUCAGUAGCGUAGCUAACGCGUGAAAUUGACCGCCUGGGGAGUACGGUCGCAAGAUU